GAGCAUUUGCUCAACUCAAAGUCUGCCAGCAGGUCCAGAAAGUGGAGAGAGAUUCCUGGAUCCAUUUCCUGCCCUCAAGGAGACUGGGAUUUGGUUCCUCCCUUCCCUAGUUAAAAGUGAGACAGAGUGCCUACAAGGAUUGACUCUCCCACUCUGCUAACCAGCUGGAGGAAAGUGGGGACAAUGGCAAAGGGAAUAAAUAGCCUCCCCAAAGCCUGGAUUCAUGAUUGACUGUUGAGAGAGUGGAAUCACUAGAAACUACUUCUACAGAAGCAGUGAUAAUACCAUGAAGACUUCCCAAGGAAUUUAUCCCAGUGAGCUCAAGCUGCAUGAAGAUUUCACCGAACUGCCAAAGGGCUUUUUCAACUAAACCAGAAACUGAAGACAGUGUCUGCUACAGCCAAGAAGUAAAGAAACAUCCUGUGGAGACUCCAAGACCAAGAGAGCAGUGAGACACCCUCAGCAGCCAGAAAUCCAUCUUCAGGAGUAAUUGAAUUCUGAGUGUAUUAUCUGAUUUUCAGAGGAAGGAAACAGGGGUGGACAUAACGCUGAACCAUGGAUCUGGGAAGAAGCCCUCUUCCAAGCUUGACUUUUGAAGAAGUAGGAUGUGGUGAGUAGAGUAACAAACCCGGAAGCAAGUAGCCUGAUUCAAGUCUCACCUUAGUCACUUAAUAGCUGUGCAUUUCUGCACAGAUCAUUUGACCCCUCUGAAUCUCAUCUGUAAAAUGAAGGGUUUGGACUUGAUGGCUUCUAAGAAUCCUCCUAGCCCUAAAUCAAUUAUCCUAUUAUUGAUUAAUUUAUUUGUUUAUAUGCUUAUUUAUUUUGCAGAUUAAGGAGAACUGGGAGGGGUAAGAGAAAAAGGAAAUGGUGUCUCAAAACCCACUUACUGAGCUUUAAUAAUUGUAAAGUAUUUGAUACUAAAUUCUGGAGAAUAAAAGAUUCAAUAAUGACAGUCAUUUUCUGGUGACAACCUAUCUGCCUCUGUAUGAGUCAAACAGAAGAGACAAAGGCAGCCUCUUCCCCAAGGACCCAUGAGUGGUUCAAGUGCUUCUGAAGUAUAGAACAGCUGCUUGGGGGAAGAUAGUGCUGAGUUUAGAUUAACUAGAACAAACCCAGGCCUGUAAAUCUGAGAGUACUGAAGUCAAGUCAUUGCAUUUAGAUACCCAGCAGGCACUGAAGUGUAACUGAUUUACCCUUUG